CAAAUUUAAUAAUAUUGAUAAUAAUGCGUGAACAAAACAAACAGACACAAUCGGUAAAAAUGUCAUAAAUAAAGGUAAAAUGUCUAAUACGGGAGUUCACAUUCGUGCAAAGGGAACGGGAUUAAAGGGGUGUAUGAUUAAUUUUGUCCUUUUAAAGAGUUAAUUGCCUACACUGCUGUAAAACAUAAAAACAACACGUGAUACAAAGGAGGGGCAAUACAAUCUGACAAAAUCAAAUGCUAGACUAUUAAAACCAACUAAAAGAAAUGUCACAUUCUUGACUUAGAACAGGCUUUUUUUUUACGAAAAUGGUGGGUUAGAACAUUCAGUAUGUACCUGUCCCAAAUCAGGAGCCUGUAAUUCAGUUGUUUUCUGUUUUUGCUGUAUGUCAAUUUGUUUUUUCGUUUUUUGUUUUGUACAUACAUCAUCACAUCAGUUUCCUCGUUUGAAUUGUUGUUCAUUUGUCAUUUCGGGGUCUUUUAUAGCUUACUAUGAGGUAUGGGUU
rnacentral:lncRNA from 1 species